rnacentral:rRNA from 1 species
CCUACGGGAGGCAGCAGUAGGGAAUCUUUCACAAUGGGCGAAAGCCUGAUGGAGCAACGCCGCGUGCAGGAUGAAGGCCUUCGGGUUGUAAACUGCUGUUAUAAGCGAGAAAUAUGAUGGUAACUUAUGAAUAAGGAUCGUCUAACUACGUCCCAGCAGCCGCGGUCAUACGUAGGAUCCGAGCAUUAUCCGGAGUGACUGGGUGUAAAGAGUUGCGUAGGUGGCAUAAUAAGUAGCUAGUGAAAUCUGGUGGCUCAAACAUUCAGUAUAUUAGCUAAACUGUUAAGCUCGAGACCGUUAGGGGUAACUGGAAUUUCUAGUGUAGGAGUGAAAUGCGUAGAUAUUAGAAGGAACACCAAUAGCGUAGGCAGGUUGCUGGGACGGUUCUGACACUAAGGCACGAAAGCGUAGGGAGCAAACGGGAUUAGAUACCCUUGUAGUC